rnacentral:piRNA from 1 species
UGCAAAUCACAAAAGCCAUAGUGAACUAAUA